GCCAGGCGGAACUUGGCGACACGUGAUCCCACACAAGACUACGCCAAGCUGAGUCUUACUGGGGAUCCGUGCUGGAGUGGACUGGAGCGGACUGGAGCGGAGGUCAGGAGCCUUUAAAGACACACUUAUAGCCUGUGCUGUCCCCUGAGGGUGCCUUGUUACCUUACCCUGCUCCAACGCACACAGCAUAACUUCUUUUCCUGGUCACUCUGAUCUCCAGGUUUCUGAGAUUCCAGAGUGAUAUGCCUUGAUGUCUCUUUCCUUAUGUUUCAUGUGUCUAAGCUUCAGUGAGCUUCUAAGAACUAAGGCUUGUCCAGGAGUACUGGUCAGCUAAGCUCCUCGGUGCCACCAAGAAUAGCUGUUCAAACAGUCAUCCUUCAGUCAUAGGAAAGCUUCGGUACGGAGAAAGGGUGUGCAUCUAUCCGUGGCUGGUGCAUCUCCAAAUGAUUUCAAUUUAUGAUGAUAUUUGAAUACAGAAAAAUAAACGAAAACACUAGCACAUUUGACAUUUGAAAUUAUGCUGAUUGGCUGGCAUAUUUUAAAACACAUCAAAUAAAGACAGGCAUCAAUGUUUG
rnacentral:lncRNA from 1 species